UUUGAAGGAAGAGGAAGGGAAGGACUCAGCUAGGGUUUGCAAGUGUUAGGAGAAAAAAUUAAGAGGAGAUCAAGGUACGUGGAUAUAUUCAAUCCUUCUACUAGAAUAAUUUAGUGUGAAGUAUUGUUAUUAAAAAUGAAAUGAAAUGAUGUAAGGAUAUGAAUGAUUUUUAGUUUACGGAUUGUAUCUCCAUUGGGAGAUUAAAGGCCUGGGUUCGUACAACAAAGUUGUUGUUCGAUUGUUUUUUUUUGGUUCAAGGGAAGUUAAGGUUUUCUUCUUUUUUUCUUUUUCUUCUGUUUGUUUUUUUGUUUUCUGCUUUCUGUUUUCUACUUUCUGUUUUCUGCUUUCUGUUUUUCUUUUUGUUAUUUUUUUGUUUUUCUGUUUCCUAUUUUUCUGUUUUUUCUGUCUUCUGAUUUCUGUUUGAUAUUUCAGUAUUUCUACUAGAUAAUAGAAGAAAUGAACUUCUUGUCCUUAUGGUUUAAAUGAUAUUUUAGGUUUUUGCCAUCUCUUGAGUUGUUGGUUUCUGAUUUUUGUUCUUUAAAUUAUUUUACUGGACAGCAAAAAAAAUCCUUAUGAAUACGGGACUAUAAUCGUGGACUGGGCUCCACAAGGUCUCCAAGUUCAGGAUUUGCGCUGCCCUAGGGCUAGAAGCUCAUGCUUAAUCCUUAGACACCCAAAUGGGACACCCACAUGGUCGAUUUUAACCAAUAAAAUCAAGAGAUGGGUCUGAAUAAUUGGGUUGGUUGUUUGAGGUUAAGCCUCAACUCUAUAGACCUACCGCCUAUUCCAGGGUGGUGGUCGAGUAAAUUUAAAGAUCUGCGUUUUGUUUUCAAAGUUUGAGUUAAAUGAACGAGAGGUAAAUUAAAAUAAAACCUAGUCGAUUUAAAAGUUUGAUUUUUACUAAUGCAAACUGUUUCAUUACUCGAGGAUUUAAAUGACAUUUCGGGUUUUAUUUCAAUUUUGAGUUUUCUUUGGAUCUAAUAACGAAAAGUGUAAAAGGGAAAUCAAUGAAACCUAAAGAACCCUAACCCUAAAUUCGGAUGAAUUUAGGAAUGGACAACGAAAGGGGCGCGUCGAGCCAGUUCUUGGAAUGGCACUCGACCUGAACUAUUCCCAUCCACCAUCAAGUUAGAUCCUAAAGGAACCCAAACCUUGAAGUUAGGGAUUUAGGGGUGAAUGACGAAAGAAGAAGAUCGAGCAAGUCCCCGGGGUGACACUCAAUCUAACUUGCUCUCUAUUCACUGAAGAUCCACCAAGGUUACGGACCAAGAUUUGGAUUGAGUGGAUCACUUAAUCUCUCCUCACUCAUACCCAAUCACACGAAAUUUACGGAUCCUUAGGGAUUUGACGACACAUGAAAUGAACGGAACUUAACGGGCCUGACGAGGCUACAUGACCCGACGGGGUUUGACAGCAUGGCGAGGGUUUGUUCGAUGACCCAUGUAAAGGAAAAAGGGGGAGUUCGUAAGAACCUUUAUUGGUAACCAAGGAGGGCUGAUAUGCCCUAAAAGAAAUUCAUGAACUAUAAGAUUCAUUAUAUAUUCACGUACUAAGUUUUUGAAACUUACCCAUGUAAAUGACAUUUUAUUGCAGAAUAAGGGACGGUUUGGAAUGGACUGGAUAGAGGAGGGUUUCACACAUGAAUGGGAUCCUAGGAUAUUAGUUAAAUAAAGAGUCUAUUUGGUUUCCGCUAGUACUUUGAUUUUGUUGUGUACGCCCAUUCGGGCAUAUGGAUCUUGGUUGUUUGUUUAAUUAAAUUUGGGAAUAACCCUAUUUAAAUUAAGAAAAUUCAGGUUAUUACAACUAUCCUAGGGAAGAUAAUGUGGAUGGGUGAGGGGUUUCCAUUUUCCCUGAAAAGGUUAGAGAAGUAAUCUAUACUUUUUAUUCAAGUGCUGAUCUUAUGAUUACUUGUUGCCCCUCUAUAUUUAGUAUUCUCAGAGUUGGAUUCUUAGAUUUCCUGAUUCUUUCUUAUAGCUAUGGUAAAAAAAUUUGUGUUUGAGUCCCCCAGUUUGAGCCAAUCUAUCUUACUCUCUUUUUUAAUAAGUGCACUUAGUUUUUCCCUGCCUGGACUUGCUUAGUUGAAUUUCCUUUCUCUGCAGCCCAUUCUUUUAUCAGGCUUUUGACUUGCUUAAGUUUCUGUUGUAAUCUGAACAGGCCAUUUAUUUUUUUGAUGAAUUAAAUAUUUUCAUUGUUGAAAAAAAGUAGAGGUACGCAUUGUCCAGAAUACAAAUGUAGGGAAAUGAAAGAGCAUCAAAUAAUUUAAAAUAACAUAAAGACAUGCAAUAGCAUUGUCACUCUCUUAUACAGCUAAGUCCCAACAAUUAAGUAGCCAUCGACUAAUGCCUCAAGAGGUUGGACAGAUGCCUAAAGAGUUCAGGGAGGUUUGUUGAUCGGAAUAGGUGUUCUUUUCAGUGAAUUUUCUUCAGGACAUAUUGCUUGCUGAUGUAGGAGAAGAUUCUGAGUAGCUAAAACAGGGAAGAAGAAUAGGGUUUAUCCUUCUUCGAUUAGGGGGAAAAAACUUGGAAUCCACCAAGGUUCUAGAUCUAGGGUAGAAAGAAAACUGUUUGCAGGAAAAAACGAGAAAGGAGAAACAGGGAAGAGAGGAAAGAAGUCACCUUUGGUAAUUGCAAUAAUUCGAUAAUUGAGAUCCCUCUCCUUGGGCCCACUAUAUUUAUACUCACAUCAAAGGUAAUGGGCAACCCAUUUGAUUUGAGUGUGAUGUUUCCUUAAGAGGAAUAUGGGUUGACUUGAGCUUGACCAAAGUCAAGCCAAUUAAAAUCCCCUUGAUCACAAUUCUGUCCAUUAAAUAUAUUAUUGCCAUUAUUUGUGUAAUUAAUAAUGGCAGAAUCUUCUACUGCAUCACUUGCUUUUUUGUAAUCAGAAUGGCAGGAUAAGGCAAGUAGAGGAUUGAAAAAUUUGAUGGCAAGGAGUUCAUUUACUGGAUGAUGCAGAUAGAGGAUUAUUUGUAUCAGAGGAAGUUGUACAAGCCUCUUAUGGAAGUCAAGCCCGAUGAAAUGACUAUUGAACAGUGGAAAAAGAUGGAUAGAAGUGCUUUGAGAGUGAUCCGUGAGUGAUCUGAUUAUGGGCUCAAAUAAGCCACAAGAGCAUGGUACUUGAAACUUCAAGAAUUUUUACUAUAAGAUAACUUCAUCACUUAAAAAUCAUUGAAUAUUAUUCUAUAAUAUUAUUUGAUUUUUUUAAAUACAAUUUUGUAUUUAUCAUCUUCAUUGAAAUGAUAUUUUGAUCUCAAUAUGCCAUACAUGUUGUUUGAUUUUAGGAAUAGUGGAAUGAAAAUACGAAAUCCAAUAAUAAAUUUGAUCGUAUAUUCAUUUUAAAUACUAAUUGUAUCAGUCUAAAUUCUAUAGAAUGACUGAUAAUGAUUGAAGUUAGAUGUAUAACCGGCCUAGAAUUAUGGGUGAAAGCUACCGAAGGAAAGAAUAAAGGUUGUGUGCUUGGAACAAGAGCAACUGAUCCAAUGCCACUACCUUCAAAUCUUAAUGUGGGGACUUCACUUAGCACGUGUAUUACAAGAAGAGUUGUUGUCACCCAUUGGAGACAUCUAUGAUGGAAGUAUGGGAGACUAACCUCCGAGGCAGCGUAUCUAGUUACUGUAUAACUAGACUAUAGCUAAUGGAGAGAGAAUCAAUGAGCUUUUGUUCAUUUCUUUUUACUUCUGUUUUUAUUUCUAUACUCGUUGUAAAUUGGGCAUUGCCCUUACUUUUUAAUGAAAUUUUAUUUACUUCAAAAAAAAAGACUUCACUUAGCACAAGUUCGAAUAUUUUUGAAAGUCAACGACAAGCAAACAAAAAAGUGUUUGAUCUAGCAGUACAAGAAGUCGUUUGAAAACAAAUGUGAUGCAGCCACUAACUAAGAACAAAUCCAGUUAAAGAAGAUGGAGAUUUCUUCACCGAAAUUAACAAAGUUUUCUUGGAAUCCACCAAGAACUCGAAUCAGAAAAUAGACGUAGAGGAAAAUACCAGAGGAAAAUAGAGAAUCUGAAAAGUUGUAGGGAAAAAAAGAUAAAGGAGUUACCUUGGGAAAUUAAAAUAAGAAAUUCAACUCUUCCCAAUGUGGUCCACCAUAUUUAUACUCACAUCAUUAGAGGUAGACAUGCCAAUGACGUGAGUCUUUGGGCGUGAUCACCUUCUAGGGUUGGCGUGAUCGAAAUUUUCCUCUGUUGGGAAUGUUACCUUAUUGAUACAAUGCUUCUGUGUUUGUUUUUGAAACCCAAUCAAAGACUAAUCAAGUUUGAAGUUCUUCCUUGUUUUGUUGUUUCUCUUAUUUUCCUAAAUCUGGAGGAUUCCGUAUUGUUUUCCCAUCUCUUCUGUGGAUUCAGAAGAGAAACUAUCGCAAUCGAUCCUCUUCUGAAGAUCUCCUGCAUCAUCAAGAGAGGUUAUUCUUCCCAGAAUUCAUAUCAGAUUGCUAUGAUUAGAGAUUAACUCAGUUGGAUAGGGGGGAAACCCUGGGUAGGAAAAUUUCUAGCUCCUCUUUUCUAGUUGAGGUCUUUCCUGUCUUUCUCUGGGAGAAAACCUCUCCAUUUCAGUCUCAGAUAACACUACCAAUCUAAGCAUAUCAAUUGGAACAACUGCUAGGGAAAAUCCCACUUGAUGAGCCUUAAGCCUGUAUGUCGGUCGGAUUCGGAUCAGAUAUGCAGGUAUCCGAAUCUGAGUCCGAAUAAUUAUCCGAAUCCGACCGAAUAAAAUCCGGAUAUGAAAAUCUGAAUCCGAAUCCGAAUCCGGAUAAAUUAUCUGGAUAUCCGGAUAAUCCGAAUCCGGAUAACUUUUUAUAAAAAUCUUAAAAUAAAAUUAUAAAAAUAUAAAAUCACCAUUAAUAAAGUCAAUUAAUCAUCCUAAAAUCCGGAUAUCCGGAUAAUUCGGAUAUCCGAAAAUCAAUUUAAAUUUAUUCGGAUAUCAGAAUCCGGAAUUUUUAAACAAAUUCAGAUUUUAAUGGCGGAUUUUCCGGAUAUCCGAAUCCGUCUGAAUAAAAUCCGGAUAUCAAUUGCGUUUAAUGAUAUACAAAUUAGACCUACUGUGGAUUCGCAUUUUUGGAAAACUUUUGUUUCAGAAAGAAGUCUAGUGGAUAAAUGUUUGGAUUGUAGAGUCAAUAAUACGAUUGUGUGGAGAUCUGGUACUCCGAUAAGUAAGUUGGGGGGAAUAGUGGAAAGUAUUCGAGAUAGAAAGCAUAAAGAUAUAUUAGCUGAAGGAAUUUGGUCGAAGAUGCUGACAAAAUUCUCUAUUCUCUUAUGGAGGGUGAAAUGGGAUCACCUAAACACGUUCAAGAAGUUGAGGGGUUGGAGAGUACAAGUGUCUUCUGUUUGUUUGUUGUGCAAUAUGGAAGAUGAAACUAAGAGUCAUCUUUUCUUUAACUGUUCGUAUUCUAGGUCUCUAUUAAUUCGGUUGGCGGAACACUUGGAUUCUGCUUUCUGGAAAAUAAUGAACAUUCCAGUCCCUACUCAAUCCAGUCCAUAUAUUAGAUUAGGGGAUUUAACGGAGGCAGCACAAAAGAUUACGCGCCACUCUCCCCCUUGAGGGUUAAUAUGAAAUGCUAUUGGAUGCUUGUCGUGGCAUAUAUGGACGGAGAGAAUUAAGAGAUAUAGACAGCACACUGGUAGGCCUCCUGAGGUAGUCCUUAAGGAGAUCAUUAAAGACAUCAGUCUCUCCUUUGAUUCAGUGUAUUACAAGAAGAGUUGUUGUCGCCCUUUGGAGACAUCUAUGAUGGAAGUAUGGGAGACAAACCUCCUGAGGCAGCGUAUCUAGUUACUGUAUAACUAGACUACAUAGCUAAUGGGAGAGAGUCAAUGAGUUUUUUACUCAUUUCUUUUUACUUCUAUUUUUAUUUCUAUUCUCUAUUUUUGUAAACUUGGCAUUAGCCUUAUUCUAAUGAAAUUUAAUUGCUUCAAAAAAAAAAAAAAAAAAGAGUUUCAAAAAAAAAUUGAAGCAAUUAAAACAUUGUUGGAUGAUGCCCAAACCUGAAGUGAAACCAGUUUUCGCAAAAUUCCAUUCACCAUGUUGCCUGCACCAGGCCGUAAAGCAAUUUUUGCAAGUUUAACAUUCUGAAUGUGGAAUCAUGUGUAUGGAAACCAUAAUAAGCAUGUCAGAAAUUAGCAAAUUACAUAUCAGGCAAUGAUAAUUAUUUAUUAAACAAAUUGCAUGUCGGUUCAUAGUACCCUUUACAAUCAGAUUAGUGGGAAAUUCUUGAUGAUAUAUUUUAUAAUUUUAAUAUGGCAGAAAAAAUGCUAUUUUAAUUUUGAUGAUAUAUUUUCACGAUGGAUCAAGAUUUGACCUCAUUUUUUAUCAAUGAAAUUCAAUAUUUGAUCCAGUGAUUUGUGCUAUUUAAAGAAAAAUCUGCAAAUUGAAUUUUGAAGAAAAUACAUGUUGGAACUUGAAAGAUAGAUGGUUUUGAAGAUAGCAUUGCACAGUAAAGUGUAAAAUAUAACCAAUAUUAUUGUAUCCAAAGUGUAAUACUGUGAUUAUGUGGUAUAAAUGUAUAAUUUUCAUUAGAGUUAGUAAAUCUAUAAUACAUAUAUCAUCAUUUUUUUUGGAAGAAGUAAAGAUUUCAUAAAUUAAAAUAAGGGCAGUGCCCUGAUUACAAUAGACAGGAAUAAUAAGAUCAUCAAUUUCAUCUGUUAUCUCUCUUCUAUUCCUUUGGUAGCACGCCCUCCUAUGGUAUGUUCUAAAUUGAUAAUCAUCGUCCUCAUCUUCAAAGUCUUCAUUCAGCAACUCUUCAUAAUGCUCCAAGGCUCUACCACCUCUUCUUUGAUAAGUCACGACCGGUGGAUCAGUCUGCCGGCAAUGAUAAGUCCGGUGACCGUCGUUAGAUGAACGUUGCGGCAAUGGAAUGUCUUCUAUUGGAUUGCGACCUCGCCUGUGAUAUGUUUGGACAGGUACUUCUGGAGGUCUGCGUUGAUAAACCGCUCCAGAGGCGUGGCCAGUUGCGAGUCCAAACUUCAAACCACCUCACGUCGGUUGUUGUCUCAGAGCAUGUGGAUCCAAAGGAUCCGCACAAGCAGUAAUCAUCCUUCUCAUGUCGCCAAAUCCAUCUCUUAUAGCUGCAGUCAGAUUUGCAAUGGCUUUAUUAGUUGCUUUCCAUUCUUGUCUCGAAAUGUUGUUAUUCUCAGACAUGGCCGCUUGACAGAAAAAUUUGUCCACCAACCUUAGCUCUGAUACAACCUGAUGCAACCUGAUAUUACUCUACUUAAAUCACUCAUAUGGUAUCAGUCGCUAGCAUCUGAUCCAGGGAAGGUGGUUAAAAUCGUUCAGAAUUCUGAUCGAUUAGGGAGAAAUUUGCUCGAUCCAUCCGUGCGCUCGGCUAGAUUGAUUUGUUCCGCUGCUCAAUCAUGUCGAAUUUUCUGAAGGAUGUGGAGCCGACAGUUAAGGUGACAAUUGAUACUCCAACGAAAGUUAUCAACAUCAAAUCACCAAAAACAGUGGCAUUGGAUCGUGGAAAUUAUUUUGCUUGGAGAACGCAAUUUCUUAGCGCAAUGAGAUGGAAUGGAUUAUCACCUUAUCUCGAUGGCAAGAUUGCAUUGGAUUCGUCAGUGACUGUUCAGCAAGAUCAACUGAUCUUAGGCUGGAUUUUAUCAUCACUAACGGCGUCUGUGGUUUCAGAAGUUUCACAUUGUGAAACAGCUGCUGAAUGUUGGGAAACGUUGCAAGAGGAAUUUGCCUCAUCCUCCCGUUCUCAGGUGCUGAACAUCCAGCAGAAAUUACAAAAUUUAAAGAAGGGAGGUAAGUCAUUUGCUGAAUAUAUUUCUGAGAUUAAUCAAUUAUUGGAAGGUCUUUCUGUGGCUGGAAAAAAGAUGGAGGAUUCAGAUCUUGUUUUACUGAUCCUUGCUGGACUAGAUGAUGAAUAUGAAGCACUAAUUCAAAAUGUAACAUCUAGGAGAGAAGAUGUUACAUACAGGGAAUUAAAAGCAAUGUUCAUGGACAUUGAAAUCAGAAAAGGUCGAUCCAAGGCUAAUAAUCCUCUCAGUGUGAAUGUUGUUGAAGCUGAAAAGAAUACUAAGCAAGGAAGGAUCAACUACAAAGUAAUUCCCUGCCAAAUAUGCAGUCAGAAAGGACAUGGAGCACUGAAUUAUUAUAACAGGCUCAACAUUACAAAAUUCCCCCCACUCACAACAGGACACUCUCAUCUGAUGGUCUCGCAGGUAAAAUGUCAGCAAAUUUAGCUAUUAAAGAAUCAUCUGGAUCUAUUUGGUACCCUGAGACAGGAACAAUAGAUGAGAUGACAGCUAAUAUAGUGGNNNNNNNNNNNNNNNNNNNNNNNNNNNNNNNNNNNNNNNNNNNNNNNNNNNNNNNNNNNNNNNNNNNNNNNNNNNNNNNNNNNNNNNNNNNNNNNNNNNNAAACAGAUGAGUGCAAUGGCAGUGGAGACAGAGGCCUGGUAUGUAGAUUCAGGAGCCACAAACCAUGUUACAAGAGCUCAGGAAAAUAUUCAGGAAGGUAUGGAGUGUGAUAGGUCGAUUAAUACAGCUGAUGGUUGACCUAUGAAAAUCACACAAUAUGGUAAUUCAACUUUAUCAAUUGAUAAUCGAAAAUUUAAUAUGAAUCAGCUACUUUUUGUUCCCUCUGCAUCUAAGAAUCUUAUUUCUGUGAAAAGAUUUUGUAUUGACAAUGAAGUUUCCAUGGAAUUUGAUCCACAGAGAGUGAUUGUGAAGGAUCUCAAAACUAAAGAAGUGCUGAUUCGUGGGCCAACAGGGGAUGGAUUGUAUGAGCUACCAAUUUGUAUGAAGAAUAAAGGAAUGCAGGCUAACCAAGUGGAGAUGGGGAUGAAAGCCACAGCCCGAACAUGGCACUUGAGGCUAGGGCAUCUACAUUCAAGGGCAGUGGAGGAUCUUAAUAGAAACAAAAUGAUAGUAGUAUCUGAUGUAAAAACAAUUCAUAAAUCAUGUAAGAAUUGUUGCAUUACAAAAUCUAAAAAAUUAAAGCAUUCCAUAAGAUCUACUGUUUAUAAUCAUCCGCUAGAGCUUGUGUUUGCUGAUAUAUAGGGGUCUGCACCUACUGAUUCUUCAGAAGGUUAUAGAUACUACAUUAACUUUGUAGAUGCAUCUACUAGCUAUAAUUGGAUGUUUUUAAUGAAAAGAAAAUCUGAGGCUGAGGACUGUUUUAUGCAGUUUCAGAAGUUGGUAGAAAGACAGUAUGGUAUAAAAUCAAGGCAGUGCAAAGUGAUAAUGCAAAAGAGUUUCUGAAAUUAUCUACCUAUCUUAGGAAUAAUGGGAUUGUUCAUCGCUUAAGCUGUCCACACACGCACCCUCAGAUGGGGAAGGUGGAGAAAAGGCAUCGACACAUUGUCGAUACAGGACUAGCUAUGCUUAAUCAUGCUGGUUUAGAAGAACAUUUUUGGGACUAUGCAUUCAUGACAGCACUACAUCUUUACAACAGAAAUCCCACAAAAGUUUUAGGUGGAAUUUCCCCAUAUGAAGCAAUGCAUCAUAAAACACCUGAAUAUUUUAAGCUGAAAGUGUUUGGAUCAAUAUGCUAUCCAAACAUGAGGCCCUACAGAGAGAAUAAGUUGGGAGACAAAUCUAUGCAAUGUGUGUUCCUAGGAUACCUUGUCAAUUGUGAAGGGUAUAUAUGCAUGAAUAUGAAGGAUGGAAGAACAGUGAUAUCAAGGGAUGUGGUGUUCGUUGAGAAUAAUUUUCUGUCUAAGAAAAACAGGGCAGAAGAAGUAUCUGAACAGAGCUCAGAUGAUGAAUCUGAACAGGAGGAUAUUGCACCUGCAUCUGCAUCGGGGACAGCCUCAGAAUCUACAUCUCCAGUCCUUCAAACAUAUGCAAGAAAGAAAAAUGAAGCUGAGACAGUUACAGUACCACAGUCCGCUGGCCUCACAGAGCAUCCACUAGAGGCAGAUUUUGAGCAACAAGAGUUAACAGAUGAUUUAGCAAUUGAUGACAAAGCAUCAGAAAAUUCAGAAUCCUCAUCUGAUGAGGAAUAUCAGCCUCAUAAGUCUGUCAAGGAAGUUGAGACAGGCCAUGGUCCAGUCACAAGAGCAGAAACAAAAAGAAGAAAUGCAAAGUAUGUGUUGUCAAUAACACCUAAAAAGCAAGUCCCAAAAUCUGUGAAGUUGGCAUUACAAGAUUCAGAAUGGAGAGCUGCUAUGCAAGAAGAGUAUGAUGCGCUAAUGAGAAAUGGUACAUGGGAAUUAAUUCCCAGAUCUGUUAAUGAUAAUGUUAUAAAUAACAUUUGGCUGUUUAAAGUGAAAGAAAAAUCUGAUGGGACAGUGGAGAGGCUAAAAGCAAGAUUAGUAGCAAGUGGAGGGACGCGAUUAUGUGGAGACUUUCAGUCCUGUGGUGAAACCUAAAACAAUCAGAAUAGUCCUCACAAUUGCAAUUUCCAGAGGAUGGGCGAUGCAACAGAUUGACAUCAGCAAUGCGUUUCUUCAUGGACAGCUUGAAGAAAAAAUUGUAAUGAGGCAGCCUGCUGGAUUUCUUGAUGAGACUAGACCUGGACAUGUUUGCCUACUGAAAAAGGCACUCUAUGGGUUAAAACAGGCUUCUAGAAUGUGGUUUAGACGCCUAAAACAAUCUCUGAGCAGCAUGGGGUUCAAUGCAUGUCAGUCUGAUGACUCAUUAUUUGUGAAGAAUGAUGGUGAUAUAAUCUACAUUUUAGUUUAUGUAGAUGACAUGGUCAUAACUGGUUCAAAUUCAGCAAAAAUACAUGAAGUGUUGGAUGCCUUGAAAUCUGAAUUUGCAGUUAGAUUAUGUGGGGAUUUAGAAUAUUUUUUGGGGAUUAGAGUGAGAAAACAUGUUGAUGGAAUAUUCUUGGAUCAACAGUUGUAUUUGGUCAACUUGUUGAAUAAACAUGAUUUUCAAAAUCUCAAACCCAUUUCUACUCCAAUGCAGCAUAGUCAGCAGUUUUAUUCAGAUGCUGAAGUGAUAGAGAAAGCCACUGAAUAUAGAAGGAUCAUAGGAUCCUUGCAGUAUUUAACCAUGUCAAGGCCUGAUAUUUCUUAUGCAGUAAAUAAACUGGCUCAGUUCAUGGAGAAGCCUAAGGACAUACACUGGAUCAUGAUGAAGAGAGUACUCAGAUACUUAUCAGGGACUCAGAACAUGGGAAUUGUGCUAAAGAAAUCCAGUAUCUGUAAUAUUUCAGCAUACAGUGAUGCUGACUGGGCAUCUGAUGAAACAGACAGAAAAAGCCAGACAGGUUACUUAAUAUACAUGGGUCGGUCACUAGUGAUGUGAUGUUCUCAGAAACAAUCAACAGUGUCCAGAUCAAGCACAGAAUCAGAAUUCAGAGCUAUCACUACAGCAACUGCUGAACUUGAUUGGAUGGCAAACUUACUGAGUGAAAUGGGGAUAAAGAUUGAUAAACCUUAUAAAUUGUGGUGCGACAACUUAGGAGCAACACAAUUGGCUGCGAAUCCGGUUUUUCACACAAAAAUCAAACAUGCUGCGCUUGACUUCAAUUUUGUGAGAGAAAGAGUUGAGAAGAAGGUUUUAGAAGUGAAUCACAUUCCAAAUACCAAACAAAAGGCUGAUGUGUUGACCAAAGCAUUGAGGCCAACACAAUUUAUGGAACUAAAGGUCAACCUCAUCGAUGAAUAUAGAUGAGUUUGAGGGGAGCUAUUAGUGAUAUUAUAAGGGUAUUUGUGUAAUUAGUUAAUAAAUCUGUAAUUAACUAAUUAGAUCUAGAAACUUCUGAUAGUCUAAACAGAAAGUUAGUUAUUCUGUUUUUAGAACUAAUUCCUCCUAAAUGUAAUUGUAUAUAAGAUACAUGAAUAAAACUUGAGGAGGGAUCGAACACUGGAAGAUCUCCCCCUUUUCCUGAUAUUACUCUACUUAAAUCACUCAUAAAUAGUCAAAGUAGAAUGAGCAAGAGAGAAUAGAGCCAAAGAGGGAAUAAUACCUGAAUAGAAUAAUCGAUGGGGAUCCUCUUCUUGGACCCAUUGUAUUUAUACUCACAUCAUUGGUAAAUGGGCAAUCCAAUGAUGUGAGUUAAACUCCACUAAUGAGAAUGAGAAUUGGCUCGACCAAGGUCAAGCCAAUUAUGGGCUAGAUUAAUACUUUGGGCUGCAUCAGAUGGCUUGGGUGAAAUGUCAUGAAUUGCAUUGUGUUGGGUUAGUGAUAUGUUAGAAUUAGUUCUAUUGAUCAUAAUAGCUAUAUUCUUACAUAAACUAAUUACUUAUAUCUAUGGGCUAAUUAGUGAUAUUCCAUUUUCAUAUUGUAGUAUUAAGUAUAACAGAAUUCAGUUAUACUAAGUUGUAUAUAUAUGAUAUUCAUUGUUAAUGGAAAGGGAUUGAGUAUCUCUCCCACUUAUCAGUUUGUUGAAGAGAGAGCUUCCCCGAUCCUGGUUUUUCUCCUCAACAAUCAUUCAUUUUCUUGAAUUCCGCUGCAAUGGAGGACGGCAUUGUUGAUAGGAGUGGAGUCGCAAAUUCAGGUGCUUCCAAGAUUGUCUUCAUCAAGCAUUUGAAGACUGUGACGCUGGACUGCUUAAACUACUUCGCUUGGCGCGCACAAUUCGUCGUCAUCUGAGCUGCUGGAUUUCGUCCAUGGGAGAAUUGACCUAUCGGACGCUAUGGCCGUAAAACAGGAUCAAUUGAUCCAAGGAUGGCUACUAUCGGCCAUAUCUGCACCGAUGCUCGCUUAUGUAACUACAUGUAGCCAAGGUUUUUUAGACGACCAUGCGGUCAUGCGAUGGCCAUGACCGCAUGGCCGCUUAGGCGCUUCAGGCGACGCCUAGGCGGUCGCCUAAAAAUAGGGUAAAUUUUGCAAAUUUACCCUGAACUUAUAUACAUUUGCUAAAAAAUAUGGGUAAAUUCAGAAACAUUUAAAAAAAUAUAUACAUAAAUUUUAAAACCUGAAAUUACUAAUACAAAGUAAUAGACCAAUUAAUCUAAAAUUUAAAAUGUAAAUACAUAGAUUAUAUGACUUCUAUGAAUUUAGGGUUAGAAAGGUGCAAGAAACAAGAAAGAAAAGAGGUUAGGGUUUUUUAAAACCCUCAACCUCUUAUUUAAAUGGGUGGUUGGGCCUUAUAUUUAAAUUAAAAAAAAAAUUAAAAAAAAUAAUAAUAAAACAGACCUAUUGGGUUAGGCGGGUCCGGGUCAGAUCCGACCCGGACCCGCCUAACCCGCUUCAGUGCAUGAAGGCAAACGCCUACAUGCGCUGGAGCGCAUGGUCGCAUAUGCGACGCCUAGGCGUCGCAUGAACAAGCUUGCAUGUAGCACAUCGGCUGAGGUAUGGAAUGUUUUACAGAUCGAAUUUGCAUCGAGCUCUAGGUCUCGAGUGCUUACAUUACGCCAAAAUUUUCAAUCUGUUAAGAAAGGGAGUCGAUCGGUCUCCGAUUACAUUGUGGAGAUCAAUUCACUGGUGGAGGCACUAACAAUUGCAGGCGAGAAGAUAGAGGAUCCAGAUCUUGUAUUACUCGUCUUGCAAGAUUUUGGAGAGGAAUAUGAGUCUCUCAUCCAAAAUGUUAGAUCAAGAGAUGGUGAGGUUACAUAUCGCAAGCUCCAAUCUAUGCUAACUGAUUUGGAAGAACGAGAAUUCAGAAGAACAAAUUCCACAUCUAUGACACUUAAUGUUGUCACUGAAACAAAGGAGAAGGGAUAUAGGCUGCAUCAGAUUUCCAGCAUUGUUUGUCCUUGUUCAAAUCCUCCCAACUGUGGUUAGAGGAUUUGGCUUUAUCUUCAGGCUGUAGGGAUGGUGGGGUCCUCACUGCUUUUAUUCGUAAUUAGUGCCCAUCUAUUCCUGCAGAUUAAAGAUGGUCUUUUUACUCUUUUACUAGUCACAUGUUUGAGAAGAAUUGAAGUUUCUCUGUCCUGUAGUGCUCUUCUGUCUUGUAAUGUUUUUGUUUUUAUUUUUUCCAUUGUGUAUCUCUGUUGUGUGUAGGGAGAGUAUUUCCUUAGCCGUGGUUGAACAGAAACUGACCAUCUCUGUCACCUUACCGGACUGGAGCACGCUCGAUGUAUUUGUUGUACGGAUAGAUUCUGAGUGUGUCUUCUCUGUUGUGAUGUUGUCCUGUCAUAUCCUCUAUUGUUCACGGCAGCCGGCGAGGUUUGUCUGAUGUAUAGAGUUUUUGCCAGUGAGAAGGUCUCUGAAUUCAUGGAUCUCUUGUUCCAGCCUCUCAUUAGGUGUGUGAUUGUGAUUUGUGUUGUAUGAACGUUAUGCAUGGGCAUGGAACCCAUUUCCAACAUUACAGGCCCAAUGUUAUUAAACUACAAGGAGGGUAUAAAAGAAGGCUGGAAGAAAGGAAUCGAUAGCUUUUAUUCAUAUGAUAUUGUCAAGGUAAUAACAUUUUAUCUUCCUCUAUUUUCUUCUUGUUUUCUGGUGGAUUCCAAAUUGUUUACUAGUGGAUUCCAGUAAUUUCUUCUCAUCUUCUGUGGAUUUAGAAGAUCUAUCAAUUAGAUGAUCUUCAAUCAGAGAUCAAAUACGUCAGAUUGGCACUUAGGGGUCCAAUGUUCGAAUUGAAGGCAUUUAGAGCAUUAGUUACAAUAAAAUGAACAUAACAUGAGGUAAAAACCAU
rnacentral:lncRNA from 1 species